GUGUCAGCAGCCGCGGUAAUACGUAGGGUGCAAGCGUUGUCCGGAAUUAUUGGGCGUAAAGAGCUCGUAGGCGGUUUGUCGCGUCUGCUGUGAAAAUCCGAGGCUCAACCUCGGACUUGCAGUGGGUACGGGCAGACUAGAGUGCAGUAGGGGAGAAGGGAAUUCCUGGUGUAGCGGUGGAAUGCGCAGAUAUCAGGAGGAACACCGAUGGCGAAGGCACUUCUCUGGGCUGUAACUGACGCUGAGGAGCGAAAGCGUGGGGAGCGAACAGGAUUAGAUACCCUGGUAGUCC
rnacentral:rRNA from 1 species